GUGCUCACUUUGGCAGCACAUAUACUAAAGUCAGAGCGAUACAGGGAAAAUUAGCAUGACCUCUGCAUAAGGAUGACAUGAAAAUUCAUGAAGCUUCCAUAUUUUUU